GUAACGCUGGCGGCAUGCCUUACACAUGCAAGUCGAACGGUAACAGGUCUUCGGAUGCUGACGAGUGGCGAACGGGUGAGUAAUACAUCGGAACGUGCCCGAUCGUGGGGGAUAACGAAGCGAAAGCUUUGCUAAUACCGCAUACGAUCUACGGAUGAAAGCAGGGGACCGCAAGGCCUUGCGCGAACGGAGCGGCCGAUGGCAGAUUAGGUAGUUGGUGGGAUAAAAGCUUACCAAGCCGACGAUCUGUAGCUGGUCUGAGAGGACGACCAGCCACACUGGGACUGAGACACGGCCCAGACUCCUACGGGAGGCAGCAGUGGGGAAUUUUGGACAAUGGGCGAAAGCCUGAUCCAGCCAUGCCGCGUGCAGGAUGAAGGCCUUCGGGUUGUAAACUGCUUUUGUACGGAACGAAAAGACUCUGGUUAAUACCUGGG
rnacentral:rRNA from 1 species